CGUAUGUCUAGAAGGAGCGGAAGCUGGAGACCGGGAGCUGCUUUGCCUGUUGGUAGUGGUGGUAUUGCUGGUGCCCACCCUUGGCGUCAUCGGUUGCCCAUUGCUUUGGCCGUGGAGUCCUUUUUUAACGAUCUUCGAGGGUGUGUGGAGAUAGCAGCGUCGUACCCAGGGGACUCUACGAAGAUGCCGUCGACCGAUUCGAAGUGGAGCGGAUUCCUGCUGACGUCAGGCAAGCCAUCGGAGAAAUAUCCCAUAUACUAAGAUUGUAUAAAGUUUUCGAAUUUGAACUUGCUGGUCGGCGUGCCCAGUCAGUUUGCCAUUCGUGUGCCGUCACAAGGUGUCUUUGCGCUUAAUAGUGAGUGAAUUGUCGCGAAUUCUCCUUGGAGCUUGGAAUCGCGUGUGUGAGUUAAGAAACAUGAAUGAAUUUUUGAUUCAAUAAAGAUUUAUUCGCUCGGA